rnacentral:rRNA from 1 species
AUUGAACGCUGGCGGCAUGCCUUACACAUGCAAGUCGAACGGCAGCACGGGAGCAAUCCUGGUGGCGAGUGGCGAACGGGUGAGUAAUAUAUCGGAACGUGCCCAGUCGUGGGGAUAACGUAGCGAAAGCUACGCUAAUACCGCAUACGAUCUAUGGAUGAAAGCGGGGGAUCGCAAGACCUCGCGCGAUUGGAGCGGCCGAUAUCAGAUUAGGUAGUUGGUGAGGUAAAGGCUCACCAAGCCGACGAUCUGUAGCUGGUCUGAGAGGACGACCAGCCACACUGGACUGAGACACGGCCCAGACUCCUACGGGAGGCAGCAGUGGGGGAAUUUUGGACAAUGGGCGCAAGCCUGAUCCAGCAAUGCCGCGUGCAGGAUGAAGGCC